ACUUGGCUCUCGCCCUCCGGCCGGGAAGCAUGGGGCUUCCCAGGCUGGUCUGCGCCUUCUUGCUCGCCGCCUGCUGCUGCUGUCCUCGCGUCGCGGCCUCAGCUGGAGCUGUUCGGUGCUCAGUCUCUGCUCAAUCUCUGCUCGGCUCCAAGGACCUGGGGUCUCCUGGACGGGGAGAGGGCUGGCCCAGGUGUGCCCGGAGAGGCUGAGCAGCCUGCGCCUGAGCUGGUGGAGGUUGAAGUGGGCAGCACAGCCCUUCUGAAGUGCGGCCUCUCCCAGUCCCAAGGCGACCUCAGCCAUGUCGACUGGUUUUCUGUCCACAAGGAGAAGCGGACGCUCAUCUUCCGUGUGCGGCAGGGCCAGGGCCAGAGCGAACGUGGGGAGUACGAGCAGCGGCUCAGCCUCCAGGACAGAGGGGCUACUCUGGCCCUGACUCAAGUCACCCCCCACGACGAGCGCAUCUUCUUGUGCCAGGGCAAGCGCCCUCGGUCCCAGGAGUACCGCAUCCAGCUCCGCGUCUACAAAGCUCCGGAGGAGCCAAACAUCCAGGUCAACGCCCUGGGCAUCCCUGUGAACAGUAAGGAGCCU
rnacentral:sRNA from 1 species